AACGAACGCUGGCGGCAUGCCUAACACAUGCAAGUCGAACGAGACCUUCGGGUCUAGUGGCGCACGGGUUCGUAACGCGUGGGAACCUGCCCUUAGGUUCGGAUUAACUCCCCGAAAGGGGUGCUAAUACCGGAUAAUGUCUUCGGACCAAAGAUUUAUCGCCUUUGGAUGGGCCCGCGUUGGAUUAGCUAGUUGGUAGGGUAAAAGCCUACCAAGGCGACGAUCCAUAGCUGGUCUGAGAGGAUGAUCAGCCACACUGGGACUGAGACACGGCCCAGACUCCUACGGGAGGCAGCAGUGGGGAAUAUUGGACAAUGGGCGGAAGCCUGAUCCAGCAAUGCCGCGUGAGUGAUGAAGGCCUUAGGGUUGUAAAGCUCUUUUACCCGGGAUGAUAAUGACAGUACCGGGAGAAUAAGCUCCGGCUAACUCCGUG
rnacentral:rRNA from 1 species